CGUGGCGGACGGGUGAGUAACGCGUGGGUAACCUGCCUCAUACAGGGGGAUAACGGUUAGAAAUGACUGCUAAUACCGCAUAAGCGCACAGUACCGCAUGGUACGUUGUGAAAAACUCCGGUGGUAUGAGAUGGACCCGCGUCUGAUUAGCUAGUUGGUGGGGUAACGGCCCACCAAGGCGACGAUCAGUAGCCGACCUGAGAGGGUGACCGGCCACAUUGGGACUGAGACACGGCCCAG
rnacentral:rRNA from 1 species